rnacentral:rRNA from 1 species
CCUACGGGUGGCAGCAGUGAGGAAUAUUGGUCAAUGGGCGGGAGCCUGAACCAGCCAAGUCGCGUGAGGGAAGACGGUCCUAUGGAUUGUAAACUUCUUUAGGCGGGGAGUAAUGCCGGGCAUGCGUGCCCGGAGGGAGAGUACCCGUAGAAUAAGCAUGGGCAAACCCGGUCCCGGCGGCGGCGGUAUUCCGGGGGAUGCGAGCGUUAUCCGGUUUUAUGGGGUUUAAGGGGUGCGCAGGGGGAUGUUAAAGUAGGCGGUAAAGUGUCCGGGCUAAACCCGGGACGGCCGUUGAAACUGGGGAUCUUGAGUGGGCGAGAGGUAUGCGGAAUGCGUGGUGUAGCGGUGAAAUGCAUAGAUAUCACGAAGAACUCCGAUUGCGAAGGCAGCAUACCGGCGCCCAACUGACGCUGAGGCACGAAAGCGUGGGGAUCGAACAGGAUUAGAUACCCGGGUAGUC